GAUGAACGCUGGCGGCGUGCCUAAUACAUGCAAGUCGAGCGAACGGACGAGAAGCUUGCUUCUCUGAUGUUAGCGGCGGACGGGUGAGUAACACGUGGAUAACCUACCUAUAAGACUGGGAUAACUUCGGGAAACCGGAGCUAAUACCGGAUGAUAUUUUGAACCGCAUGGUUCAAAAGUGAAAGACGGUCUUGCUGUCACUUAUAAAUGGAUCCGCGCUGCAUUAGCUAGUUGGUAAGGUAACGGCUUACCAAGGCAACGAUGCAUAGCCGACCUGAGAGGGUGACCGGCCACACUGAAACUGAGACACGGUCCAGACUCCUACGGGAGGCAGCAGUAGGGAAUCUUCCGCAAUGGGCGAAAGCCUGACGGAGCAACGCCGCGUGAGUGAUGAAGGUCUUCGGAUCGUAAAACUCUGUUAUUAGGGAAGAACAUAUGUGUAAGUAACUGUGCACAUCUUGACGGUACCUAAUCAGAAAGCCACGGCUAACUACGU
rnacentral:rRNA from 1 species